CCUACGGGUGGCAGCAGUGGGGAAUAUUGGACAAUGGGCGAAAGCCUGAUCCAGCCAUGCCGCGUGUGUGAAGAAGGCCUUCGGGUUGUAAAGCACUUUCAGUGGGGAAGAAAGCCUUGGGGCUAAUACCCUCGAGGAAGGACAUCACCCACAGAAGAAGCACCGGCUAACUCCGUGCCAGCAGCCGCGGUAAUACGGAGGGUGCGAGCGUUAAUCGGAAUUACUGGGCGUAAAGCGCGCGUAGGCGGUCUGAUAAGCCGGUUGUGAAAGCCCCGGGCUCAACCUGGGAACGGCAUCCGGAACGGUCAGGCUAGAGUGCAGGAGAGGAAGGUAGAAUUCCCGGUGUAGCGGUGAAAUGCGUAGAGAUCGGGAGGAAUACCAGUGGCGAAGGCGGCCUUCUGGACUGACACUGACGCUGAGGUGCGAAAGCGUGGGUAGCAAACAGGAUUAGAUACCCGGGUAGUC
rnacentral:rRNA from 1 species